rnacentral:rRNA from 1 species
GGCAGAAGGGCAAAACGAAGAGUUUACUCUUCGGGGUUGUAGGACUGCAAUGUGGACUCAAAGAUUAUAGAAGAAUGAUUUGGGAAGAUCAGCCAAAGAGAGUAAUAGCCUCGUAUUUAAAAUAGUCUUUGUACCUAGCAGUAUCCUGAGUACGGCGGGACACGUGAAAUCCCGUCGGAAUCUGGGAGGACCAUCUCCCAACCCUAAAUACUCCCUAGUGACCGAUAGUGAACCAGUACCGUGAGGGAAAGGUGAAAAGCACCCCGGGAGGGGAGUGAAAUAGAACCUGAAACCGUGUGCCUACAACAAGUUCGAGCCCGUUAAUGGGUGAGAGCGUGCCUUUUGUAGAAUGAACCGGCGAGUUACGUUAUGAUGCGAGGUUAAGUUGAAGAGACGGAGCCGUAGGGAAACCGAGUCUGAACAGGGCGAAUUAGUAUCAUGACGUAGACCCGAAACCAUGUGACCUACCCAUGAGCAGGUUGAAGGUGCGGUAAGACGCACUGGAGGACCGAACCAGGGCACGUUGAAAAGUGCUUGGAUGACUUGUGGGUAGCGGAGAAAUUCCAAACGAACUUGGAGAUAGCUGGUUCUCUCCGAAAUAGCUUUAGGGCUAGCGUCGACAUUAGAGAUUCUUGGAGGUAGAGCACUGUUUGGGUGAGGGGUCCAUCCCGGAUUACCAAUCUCAGAUAAACUCCGAAUGCCAAUGAAUUAUGGUCGGCAGUCAGACUGCGAGUGCUAAGAUCCGUAGUCGAAAGGGAAACAGCCCAGACCACCAGCUAAGGUCCCAAAAUAAUUGUUAAGUGGAAAAGGAUGUGGGGUUGCACAGACAACUAGGAUGUUAGCUUAGAAGCAGCUAUUCAUUCAAAGAGUGCGUAAUAGCUCACUAGUCGAGUGACCCUGCGCCGAAAAUGUACCGGGGCUAAAACAAUUUACCGAAGCUGUGGAUACCUUUAUAGGUAUGGUAGGAGAGCGUUCUAUGUGUGAUGAAGGUAUACCGUGAGGAGUGCUGGAACGCAUAGAAGUGAGAAUGCCGGUAUGAGUAGCGAAAGACAGGUGAGAAUCCUGUCCACCGUAAGACUAAGGUUUCCAGGGGAAGGCUCGUCCGCCCUGGGUUAGUCGGGACCUAAGGAGAGACCGAAAGGUGUAUCCGAUGGACAACAGGUUGAUAUUCCUGUACUAGAGUAUGUAGUGAUGGAGGGACGCAGUAGGCUAACUAAAGCAGACGAUUGGAAGAGUCUGUCUAAGCAGUGAGGUGUGAAUUGAGUCAAAUGCUUAAUUCUAUAACAUUGAGCUGUGAUGGGGAGCGAAGUUUAGUAGCGAAGUUAGUGACGUCACACUGCCAAGAAAAGCUUCUAGCGUUUAAACAUACUCUACCCGUACCGCAAACCGACACAGGUAGUCGAGGCGAGUAGCCUCAGGUGAGCGAGAGAACUCUCGUUAAGGAACUCGGCAAAAUGACCCCGUAACUUCGGGAGAAGGGGUGCUGACUUUAGGUCAGCCGCAGUGAAUAGGCCCAAGCAACUGUUUAUCAAAAACACAGCUCUCUGCUAAAUCGUAAGAUGAUGUAUAGGGGGUGACGCCUGCCCGGUGCUGGAAGGUUAAGAGGAGUGCUUAGCGUAAGCGAAGGUAUGAAUUGAAGCCCCAGUAAACGGCGGCCGUAACUAUAACGGUCCUAAGGUAGCGAAAUUCCUUGUCGGGUAAGUUCCGACCCGCACGAAAGGCGUAAUGAUUUGGGCACUGUCUCAACGAGAGACUCGGUGAAAUUUUAGUACCUGUGAAGAUGCAGGUUACCCGCGACAGGACGGAAAGACCCCAUGGAGCUUUACUGCAGUUUGAUAUUGAGUGUCUGUACCACAUGUACAGGAUAGGUAGGAGUCUAAGAGAUCGGGACGCCAGUUUCGAAGGAGACGCUGUUGGGAUACUACCCUUGUGUUAUGGCCACUCUAACCCAGAUAGGUGAUCCCUAUCGGAGACAGUGUCUGACGGGCAGUUUGACUGGGGCGGUCGCCUCCUAAAAGGUAACGGAGGCGCCCAAAGGUUCCCUCAGAAUGGUUGGAAAUCAUUCGCAGAGUGUAAAGGUAUAAGGGAGCUUGACUGCGAGAGCUACAACUCGAGCAGGGACGAAAGUCGGGCUUAGUGAUCCGGUGGUUCCGUAUGGAAGGGCCAUCGCUCAACGGAUAAAAGCUACCCUGGGGAUAACAGGCUUAUCUCCCCCAAGAGUUCACAUCGACGGGGAGGUUUGGCACCUCGAUGUCGGCUCGUCGCAUCCUGGGGCUGUAGUCGGUCCCAAGGGUUGGGCUGUUCGCCCAUUAAAGCGGCACGCGAGCUGGGUUCAGAACGUCGUGAGACAGUUCGGUCCCUAUCCGUCGCGGGCGUAGGAAAUUUGAGAGGAUCUGCUCCUAGUACGAGAGGACCAGAGUGGACUUACCGCUGGUGUACCAGUUGUCUUGCCAAAGGCAUCGCUGGGUAGCUAUGUAGGGAAGGGAUAAACGCUGAAAGCAUCUAAGUGUGAAACCCACCUCAAGAUGAGAUUUCCCAUGAUUAUAUAUCAGUAAGAGCCCUGAGAGAUGAUCAGGUAGAUAGGUUAGAAGUGGAAGUGUGGCGACACAUGUAGCGGACUAAUACUAAUAGCUCGAGGACUUAUCCAA